GUGCGAUGGAGGUCCUAAUUUUUAUAUUUAAGUAUUUCUUUUGUGUGACCAUUUUUAUAUGUGUAUGCUUCAUUUCACGCCACGUGUAGAGUAGUAUUUACUGGUGUGGUUUUCAAUUAAUCUGUCGAACUGGGGGCAAGAAGUUUUGUCUCAUCCAUGGGCAUUGAAAAAACUUGAUCCUGUUCUAAAUGAUCUGGAAGCUGCUGGUCUGCAUGGUAUUGACUAUUGAGGCAUGACAAACCGAUAGUAUGGGCAGAAUAAUCAUUUUGCAAUUAAUUGCAAGAAGUAAUACUUAAUUCAAGUCUUUUAAGCACACCUCACUUCUUCGUAUCCACCUAUGGCCUUCCAGGGAGCAGCAUUACAACGGUAAACCAUGGUCUCCCUGCCCCCAACUCCUCUGGAUCCGCCAUCCCUAUUCAUUUUUUGGUUCAAAAACAUCUCUCUUAUAGUGAUGCUUCAGUGUUGGUUCAGGUUUGGACUUUCUUUGUGUUAGUGCUGAAAAUUCCAAUGAAUUUUACCAUAUUCAUCCAACCAUGCAUUAUUUUUUAAACUGUAUGAGAUGUUUAGGAACAGUAAUCAUUCACUUGGGAUUUGGUUAAACUCUUCCUCGAACAUAUUUCUCACAAGUCCAAAGUGGAGUUUUUUUCCAUAUUGUUUGUGAUAUGUUCGAUUUGGCUAAUUGCAGAUUUUUUGUAUGGUGCUAGGUGCUAGCUUGUACAAGGGGUGCGUGCAUGUACCUACUUGUGUACUUUGACUAGCUUCUGGGUUUUCAUGCAUAUAUAGUUAUAAGCACAUACGCGAACAUGGAUGUACUUUCACAAUGUCUUAAUCUUGUCGCCAUUGUUUUUUGUGCACCAUUAAUAAAGUAGAGAACAGUGGGUAGAUGAUUUUGCCAGGUUUUAAAUUCACAUGGAAGCAAAGCACUCUCUUGGAUUGCUGAAUGAUUUGUAGUUGGUUCUAGCUAGCUUCAGGUUGUCAUUUUUGUCGGCAAGCCUGUAGAAAUGUGCAUUGGCUGCAAAAGAUUCAUUGAGCUUGUGGAUAUUAUUUACUGAAUGUUAAUUAUUUGCAUGUGCCAUGUUGAAUGCUGAUCAACAACUACUAUACAUGCUCUCACGAUUAGUAGCAAGCAGCAGUUGCAACUUGUAAUAACUUGACUGUAAUUGAGUCGGCAGUGUUGUAUCCGGAACACUUACUAUUGUUUGUAAUAGUGUGCUCAUUUUUAUCCUGUUAAGUUAAUUACUGGUGUAAAGAAUGGCAAAUUUAAUUAUGUUGAUUUAUUUCACUGGGCUUGAUCAAGUAUUUUGACCAUUUUCUCAUGCUGGUAUAUACGCACUAGAUCUAAAGGUUGGGCGCUGAUGGCCAUGGUCAACCACUAGGUCUCCAAGAUGGACGACAUCAUCAUGAUGUAGAGCAUUUAGGUAAUUGGCGAGCCGAGCCUUCCUUGGCUGACAGUGCAGGGCUGUACAUGGAGCAAGCCCGGUUGUGGCGCUCGUGAAGGGGGGACGUGGAUUCGGCCCUGGUGCAGCAGCAACGGGGAAGCAGAGCUGACGGGAGGGAGCCUUUCCUGUGGGAUGGAUCAUGCUUUUCGGUGAUGUUUGACUUGUUGGCUCUCUGCCAGCAUGGUGCCAGUGGUUGUCGGAUCUGGCUAGUCUUUAUAGGGAUAAGCUCGACUACUGGGAUGACCAGGGAGUAGUGCAGCAUGUAUUUGAAAUCCUGGUGUUUCCAAGUUGUUUUGUGUAGAUCAUUCCAAAAAAUCUGAGACUAGUUAAGCAUAUCAUGUACUGAUGUUGUUAUAUUAGAAUUGCUGGUAUUAUACUCCAUCCGUCCUUGCCCUUGACAACAA